rnacentral:rRNA from 1 species
AUGAAUAAGUCUCUCUUAGCCCCUUACACAGCGGAAGAGGUGAAGAAAGCCCUUUUCUCCAUGGGGGAUCUCAAAGCCCCAGGACCGGACGGGUUGCAUGCCAUUUUUUACAAAUUUUUUUGGCCAGUCCUGGGUGAUGAUUGGGUUCGAGAGGUCUUACAGGUAGUGAAUUUGGGCGUGAUACCGGAGGGGUGGAAUACAACUACAAUAGUGCUCAUUCCCAAGGUGGACAAUCCAGAAAAGAUCACUCAGUUCAGACCAAUCAGUCUCUGCAAUGUUUAUAAGAUAAUAUCAAAGAUGUUGUCUUCAAGACUCAAAUUGUUAUUGCCUGAUGUAAUCAGUGAGACCCAAAGCGCCUUUGUCCCGGGUCGAAUCAUUACGGACAAUGUCAUAGUUGCGUACGAAUGUUUACACACAAUGAAGAAGAGGAAGAAUGGAAAGGUGGACACAUGUGCUGUUAAGCUGGACAUGCACAAGGCGUACGAUAGAGUUGAAUGGUCUUUCUUGGAAGCAAUGCUAAUCAAGCUUGGUUUUGAUAGCAGAUGGGUGAAGCUAAUAAUGGCCUGUGUACCAUCAGUUGAAUAUAAGGUCAAGUUUAAUUCCAAUGAGACCAAUCCAUUUAUGCCAACAAGGGGAUUACGCCAGGGCGACCCUCUAUCUCCGUACCUAUUUCUGUUAUGUGAGGAGGGCCUAUCCGCACUCAUUUCCCAUGAGGAAGCCGAGGGAAACUUAAAUGGUGUUCAGGUGUGUCGUGAUUCUCCUGUCAUAUCUCAUUUGUUAUUCGCUGACGACUCACUUAUCUUGAUGAAGGCUACUCCGCAAAAUGCACAUUCUUUGAGAUCACUUCUGGAUGAUUAUUGUGCAGCAUCGGGACAGUUGGUGAGUGAGGCAAAGUGCUCUAUUUUCUUUAGUCCGAAUACAGAUGUGGAUGUUAAAGCAGAGGUAUGCCAAAUCCUCAACAUAAUGACAGAAUCAUUGUCGGAGAAAUAUCUGGGUCUACCUUCGAUGAUUGGAGUGGAUAAGGUGACUUGCUUUGAGCAUAUCAUUGAAAGAUUUCAAAUCAUGAUCAAUGGAUGGAAGGAACGGACCCUCUCUUUUGGUGGCAAAGAAGCUUUAAUUAAAGCGGUGGCCCAAGCCAUCCCAACAUAUGCGAUGAGUGUGUUUAAAUUCCCAAAGAAAAUUUGUAAGGGGAUCACUGACGCAAUGUCGCACUAUUGGUGGGGUGACGAAGAAGACCGGAGGAAAAUGCAUUGGUUUGCAUGGUGGAAAUGUGUGUGCCGAAGGAGAAGGGUGGAAUGGGUUUAA